rnacentral:rRNA from 1 species
UGGGGAAUUUUGGACAAUGGGCGCAAGCCUGAUCCAGCAAUGCCGCGUGCAGGAUGAAGGCCUUCGGGUUGUAAACUGCUUUUGUACGGAACGAAAAGGCCUCUUUUAAUAAAGGGGGCUCAUGACGGUACCGUAAGAAUAAGCACCGGCUACCUAAGUGCCAGCAGCCGCGGUAAUACGUAGGGUGCGAGCGUUAAUCGGAAUUACUGGGCGUAAAGCGUGCGCAGGCGGUAAUGUAAGACAGAUGUGAAAUCCCCGGGCUCAACCUGGGACCUGCAUUUGUGACUGCAUUGCUGGAGUGCGGCAGAGGGGGAUGGAAUUCCGCGUGUAGCAGUGAAAUGCGUAGAUAUGCGGAGGAACACCGAUGGCGAAGGCAAUCCCCUGGGCCUGCACUGACGCUCAUGCACGAAAGCGUGGGGAGCAAAC